rnacentral:rRNA from 1 species
GAUGAACGCUGGCGGCGUGCCUAAUACAUGCAAGUCGAGCGAACAGACGAGGAGCUUGCUCCUCUGACGUUAGCGGCGGACGGGUGAGUAACACGUGGAUAACCUACCUAUAAGACUGGGAUAACUUCGGGAAACCGGAGCUAAUACCGGAUAAUAUAUUGAACCGCAUGGUUCAAUAGUGAAAGACGGUUUUGCUGUCACUUAUAGAUGGAUACGCGCCGCAUUAGCUAGUUGGUAAGGUAACGGCUUACCAAGGCAACGAUGCGUAGCCGACCUGAGAGGGUGAUCCGCCACACUGGAACUGAGACACGGUCCAGACUCCUACGGGAGGCAGCAGUAGGGAAUCUUCCGCAAUGGGCGAAAGUCGGACGGAGCAACGCCGCGUGAAUGAUGAAGGUCUUCGGAUCGUAAAACUCUGUUAUUAGGAAAGAACAAAUGUGUAAGUAACUAUGCACGUCUUGACGGUACCUAAUCAGAAAGCCACGGCUAACUACGUG